UACAGAGGUCUCAAGCGUUGUUCGGAUUCAUUGGGCGUAAAGGGCGUGUAGGCGGCGCAACAAGUCACUUGUGAAAUCUCCGGGCUUAACCCGGAGCGGCCAAGUGAUACUGUCGUGCUAGAGUGCGGAAGGGGCUACUGGAAUUCUCGGUGUAGCGGUGAAAUGCGUAGAUAUCGAGAGGAACACCUGCGGCGAAGGCGGGUAGCUGGGCCGACACUGACGCUGAGGCGCGAAAGCCAGGGGAGCGAACGGG
rnacentral:rRNA from 1 species